rnacentral:lncRNA from 1 species
CAUGCAUUUAAUUCAUUCUGACCAAGUAGAAAAUAAGCUUCACACAUUGGUGCCCCCCACUCCCCCACUGCUGCCUUCGAGGGGAAAUAUGACAGCGUAAUGAACAGUUGUACGACGUGCUAUAAAAAGGCAAUUAAGGGAACUAUUGGACUGGGACAAGCCAGCGUGACCUGGUUAAUAGCUCUGACAGCUUGCUCCUCGCUCCAGAUGAAGAGGGCCUGAGUCCUUGGGCUCCUUCUCUCCAG